GAUAAGCGCCGGUAAGGUGAUAUGAACCGUUAUAACCGGCGAUACCCGAAUGGGGAAACCCAGUGUGACUCGUCACACUAUCAUUAACUGAAUCCAUAGGUUAAUGAGGCGAACCGGGGGAACUGAAACAUCUAAGUACCCCGAGGAAAAGAAAUCAACCGAGAUUCCCCCAGUAGCGGCGAGCGAACGGGGAGGAGCCCAGAGCCUGAAUCAGCAUGUGUGUUAGUGGAAGCGUCUGGAAAGGCGCGCGAUACAGGGUGACAGCCCCGUACACAAAAGCGCAUGUGCUGUGAGCUCGAUGAGUAGGGCGGGACACGUGGUAUCCUGUCUGAAUAUGGGGGGACCAUCCUCCAAGGCUAAAUACUCCUGACUGACCGAUAGUGAACCAGUACCGUGAGGGAAAGGCGAAAAGAACCCCGGCGAGGGGAGUGAAAAAGAACCUGAAACCGUGUACGUACAAGCAGUGGGAGCACCCUUUGGGUGUGACUGCGUACCUUUUGUAUAAUGGGUCAGCGACUUAUAUUCUGUAGCAAGGUUAACCGAAUAGGGGAGCCGGAGGGAAACCGAGUCUUAACCGGGCGUUAAGUUGCAGGGUAUAGACCCGAAACCCGGUGAUCUAGCCAUGGGCAGGUUGAAGGUUGGGUAACACUAACUGGAGGACCGAACCGACUAAUGUUGAAAAAUUAGCGGAUGACCUGUGGCUGGGGGUGAAAGGCCAAUCAAACCGGGAGAUAGCUGGUUCUCCCCGAAAGCUAUUUAGGUAGCGCCUCGUGAAUUCAUCUCCGGGGGUAGAGCACUGUUUCGGCUAGGGGGCCAUCCCGGCUUACCAACCCGAUGCAAACUGCGAAUACCGGAGAAUGUUAUCACGGGAGACACACGGCGGGUGCUAACGUCCGUCGUGAAGAGGGAAACAACCCAGACCGCCAGCUAAGGUCCCAAAGUCAUGGUUAAGUGGGAAACGAUGUGGGAAGGCCCAGACAGCCAGGAUGUUGGCUUAGAAGCAGCCAUCAUUUAAAGAAAGCGUAAUAGCUCACUGGUCGAGUCGGCCUGCGCGGAAGAUGUAACGGGGCUAAACCAUGCACCGAAGCUGCGGCAGCGACACUGUGUGUUGUUGGGUAGGGGAGCGUUCUGUAAGCCUGUGAAGGUGUGUCGUGAGGCAUGCUGGAGGUAUCAGAAGUGCGAAUGCUGACAUAAGUAACGAUAAAGCGGGUGAAAAGCCCGCUCGCCGGAAGACCAAGGGUUCCUGUCCAACGUUAAUCGGGGCAGGGUGAGUCGACCCCUAAGGCGAGGCCGAAAGGCGUAGUCGAUGGGAAACGGGUUAAUAUUCCCGUACUUGGUGUUACUGCGAAGGGGGGACGGAGAAGGCUAUGUUGGCCGGGCGACGGUUGUCCCGGUUUAAGCGUGUAGGUGUGUGUUCCAGGUAAAUCCGGUUCACUUUAACACUGAGGCGUGACGACGAGGCACUACGGUGCUGAAGCAACAAAUGCCCUGCUUCCAGGAAAAGCCUCUAAGCAUCAGGUAACAUCAAAUCGUACCCCAAACCGACACAGGUGGUCAGGUAGAGAAUACCAAGGCGCUUGAGAGAACUCGGGUGAAGGAACUAGGCAAAAUGGUGCCGUAACUUCGGGAGAAGGCACGCUGACACGUAGGUGAAGUGAUUUACUCAUGGAGCUGAAGUCAGUCGAAGAUACCAGCUGGCUGCAACUGUUUAUUAAAAACACAGCACUGUGCAAACACGAAAGUGGACGUAUACGGUGUGACGCCUGCCCGGUGCCGGAAGGUUAAUUGAUGGGGUCAGCGCAAGCGAAGCUCCUGAUCGAAGCCCCGGUAAACGGCGGCCGUAACUAUAACGGUCCUAAGGUAGCGAAAUUCCUUGUCGGGUAAGUUCCGACCUGCACGAAUGGCGUAAUGAUGGCCAGGCUGUCUCCACCCGAGACUCAGUGAAAUUGAACUCGCUGUGAAGAUGCAGUGUACCCGCGGCAAGACGGAAAGACCCCGUGAACCUUUACUAUAGCUUGACACUGAACAUUGAGCCUUGAUGUGUAGGAUAGGUGGGAGGCUUUGAAGUGUGGACGCCAGUCUGCAUGGAGCCGACCUUGAAAUACCACCCUUUAAUGUUUGAUGUUCUAACGUGGACCCGUUACCCGGGUUGCGGACAGUGUCUGGUGGGUAGUUUGACUGGGGCGGUCUCCUCC
rnacentral:rRNA from 1 species